CUUCCAAUCUCUGCUGGAGCUAGUUCAGGCAUCAAUUAAAGGAUCAUCCCAAUCUCUGUGGCAAAAGAGUAAGGAGAGCCUCAAGUAGAGACGAAACAUCUACUGAAUGAAGUUAUAGCUGGCUGCUCAAGAAAUUAAUAAAAGUUCAGCCUCACAACUCUUAACUCC